GUCAACCUACCCUAUGGACGGGAAUAACCUCGGGAAACUGAGAAUAAUACCCGAUAGAACAUUAUGCCUGGAAUGGUUUAUGUUCCAAAUGAUUUAUCGCCGUAGGAUGGGACUGCGGCCUAUCAGUUUGUUGGUGAGGUAAUGGCCCACCAAGACUAUUACAGGUACGGGCUCUGAGAGGAGUGGCCCGGAGAUGGGUACUGAGACACGGACCCAGGCCCUAUGGGGCGCAGCAGGCGAGAAAACUUUGCAAUGUGCGAAAGCACGACAAGGUUAAUCCGAGUGGUUUCUGCUAAAGGAACCUUUUGUCGGUCCUAAAAACACCGAUGAAUAAAGGGUGGGCAAGUUCUGGUGUCAGCCGCCGCGGUAAAACCAGCACCUCAAGUGGUCAGGAUGAUUAUUGGGCCUAAAGCAUCCGUAGCCUGCUCUGUAAGUUUUCGGUUAAAUCCAUGUGCUUAACACAUGGGCUGCCGGGAAUACUGCAGAGCUAGGGAGUGGGAGAGGUAGACGGUACUUGAUAGGAAGGGGUAAAAUCCUUUGAUCUAUUGAUGACCACCUGUGGCGAAGGCGGUCUACCAGAACACGUCCGACGGUGAGGGAUGAAAGCUGGGGGAGCAAACCGGAUUAGAUACCCGGGUAGUCCCAGCUGUAAACCAUGCAAACUCAAUGAUGCAUUGGCUUGUGGCCAAUGCAGUGUUGCAGGGAAGCCGUUAAGUUUGCCGCCUGGGAAGUACGUACGCAAGUAUGAAACUUAAAGGAANUGGCGGGGGAGCACCACAANGGGUGAAGCCUGCGGUUC
rnacentral:rRNA from 1 species